UGCCUCAGUAACGGCGAGUGAAGCGGCAACAGCUCAAAUUUGAAAUCUGGCUCUCUCAGGGUCCGAGUUGUAAUUUGUAGAAGAUGCUUUGAGUGUGGCUCCGGUCUAAGUUCCUUGGAACAGGGCGUCAUAGAGGGUGAGAAUCCCGUACGUGACUGGGUGCCUUCGCUCGUGUAAAGCUCUUUCGACGAGUCGAGUUGUUUGGGAAUGCAGCUCAAAAUGGGUGGUAAAUUUCAUCUAAAGCUAAAUAUUGGCCAGAGACCGAUAGCGCACAAGUAGAGUGAUCGAAAGAUGAAAAGCACUUUGGAAAGAGAGUUAAACAGUACGUGAAAUUGUUGAAAGGGAAGCGCUUGCAACCAGACUUGCGCGCUGUUGAUCAUCCGAGCUUCUGCCCGGUGCACUCGAUAGCGUUCAGGCCAGCAUCGGUUUUGGUGGGCGGAUAAAGGCCUUGGGAAUGUAGCUUCUUUCGGGGAGUGUUAUAGCCCUCGGUGCAAUGCGCCCUACCGGGACCGAGGACCGCGCUUCGGCUAGGAUGCUGGCGUAAUGGUUGUAAGCGACCCGUCUUGAAACACGGACCAAGGAGUCUAACAUCUAUGCGAGUGUUUGGGUGUCAAACCCAUACGCGUAAUGAAAGUGAACGGAGGUGAGAACCCUUAAGGGUGCAUCAUCGACCGAUCCUGAUGUCUUCGGAUGGAUUUGAGUAAGAGCAUAGCUGUUGGGACCCGAAAGAUGGUGAACUAUGCCUGAAUAGGGUGAAGCCAGAGGAAACUCUGGUGGAGGCUCGCAGCGGUUCUGACGUGCAAAUCGAUCGUCAAAUUUGGGUAUAGGGGCGAAAGACUAAUCGAACCA
rnacentral:rRNA from 1 species